UGGGGAAUCUUGCGCAAUGGGCGAAAGCCUGACGCAGCAACGCCGCGUGGGGGACGAAGGCCUUCUGGGUUGUAAACCCCUUUCAGCAGGGACGAUUGUGACGGUACCUGCAGAAGAAGCCCCGGCCAACUACGUGCCAGCAGCCGCGGUAAUACGUAGGGGGCGAGCGUUGUCCGGAUUCAUUGGGCGUAAAGAGCUCGUAGGCGGCUUAGCAAGUCGGGUGUGAAAUCUCCAGGCUCAACCUGGAGUCGCCACUCGAUACUGCUAUGGCUAGAGUCCGGUAGGGGACCAUGGAAUUCCUGGUGUAGCGGUGAAAUGCGCAGAUAUCAGGAGGAACACCAGUGGCGAAGGCGGUGGUCUGGGCCGGAACUGACGCUGAGGAGCGAAAGCGUGGGGAGCGAACAGG
rnacentral:rRNA from 1 species